UAGCACAUCCAGCAGCUCCCAUACUUUCCCCCAUUUCUCUUAAAAUUUUUUAAAUCCUUCAGAGACCAAUCAGUUCCACCUCAUCUCCUUCGUCAUCUUUAUCUCUUCAUUCUAUGAAAAAGAAAGCCCUAAUUUACCAUGGAUAUGACGAUUCAGCUCCCCAAAUUCCACCAAAACAAUCCCAUGGAACCACUAGAGCACCCUCUUACUGAAUCCAUAAACCACUUCCCUCAAAUCCUCCUUAAAUCUCUUGAAUCUUGAAUCCAAAAUUAGAAUCUCUAAGAACCAAGUCCAAAUCCAAGCAUGUAAGGUGAUUGCUCCAGUCGUCUUAAGAGUUUAAAGUUGAUUUUGUCGUGAAAUAGUAUUUUUUGCUUGUUCUUGACAAAGAAAAAGUGGUUGAUUAUUUGGCGAUGAAAUCAGAAAGUCAAGAUUGAAGUCAAGUGCUGUGAGGUAAGUUCUCCUUCUAUUCGAAUCAUUCUGAUAUUCCGGCUUCUAUUCUUCUCCUUUACUACUUUUUUCGGACAAUUCAGCCAGAAUUCAAGUAAGAUUUUUACAAUUUCCUAAUAGUCAUUUGUUACUCUCUAGUCUAUCAUUCAAUUCUAUUAUGGUCAGAUCAUGAUUAUUGUCUUAGUUUUAUAUCAUGUUUUAUCACUAGUUAAUAACUUU
rnacentral:lncRNA from 1 species